GGACUGAUGUUUUUCACUGAUGAGAUGGUAGGGGUUGUCUUGCUAUUGGAGAAAUACAUCAUCCCUGAAGAACUGUGAGCAAGUGGAGCGAGUGUGGGCUUUGAAGGGUAGCGAGCUUGCACCCUGACCGGGGAGGGCCCGGGUCACACAGUUGUUGAUGUGGAACAGGUAAUUGCCCUGUUUGGAGUUGCCUGUUCUGCCCAGGAAUGUACUCCAGGGCCUGAUGGCGAUGCUGGAACUCGCACUACAGUAAAUAAUUGAUAAGAGGAGGCAGUUGUAGGGUUCACUUUUAGCUGGAAGUUCUUAGGGGACAGAAAAAUAACUUGGAGUAGUGAGUGGUUCUGAGUAAGCUCAGGAAACGUCAAAUAAAAACUGGAUCUGGUCAUUUAACACGCAGCUCGCAGAUAUCCAGUGCUAGAAGAAAACACCAAAACGCGGUAAAAUUCUGUAUGUGGGUCCACUUCCCGUGUCUGGCGAUUAAAAUAAGAAUAUAUUCUUGCGA
rnacentral:lncRNA from 1 species